rnacentral:rRNA from 1 species
UCUUAAUUUUUCAGUUAAAAAUUAAUUUAUAUUAUAAAUUUUAAUUUUUAUUUUAAAAAUUUUAUUGGGGUGAUAAAAAAAUUUAUGAAACUUUUUAGGAAUUAUACAAAUAUAUUUGAUUAUGUGAUUUAGAAUUUUAGAUUUAAAGAGAAGU